AAAAUUUAAACUGCUGAUUAAUAUAGAAAACUACAAACUUCGACAAUGAAAGGUGUUUUGUGUGUACAGUUUUGAUUGUUCUGGUGUUGGUCGCAAGUACUUCUUCAUUCUCUGUACAGGAAGGUGAAUCGCGUGUCAAGAACACUAGACAAAUAUGUUACCAUCCAAACUGUGUAACCGAUGGCUACGGCUGUGUCGGACAAUAUGGUCCAUGUGCUGGUAUAUGCUACUGUAUAGGGUCUGGAUAUGAGUACAGAUGCAGUUAUUGUGACAUUUUCGGCUAAAUAGCAGAUUUCGUAUAUAGCCAAUACAUCUCUGAAAGUUUAAUCAUUAAUUCAUUAUACAUUGUAAAUGUAUUAUCAAAAUAAAUGACAUUAUUUUUAAAUGUG